UAACUACAUAAACUGGUGCAG
rnacentral:siRNA from 1 species